GUAUACUUCUGCUCGCCUGAAGUCCACUAGAUGGUGCUAGAGGAUAAUGAAUUACAGUGAACGGCCUGUAGGUAUGUUGACAGCUGCUGUCUUUAGCACAUGAAAUUUGGCAGAAAACAAUGAAGAAAGGAGCUAAUAGAGAAUCUGCUCAUCUGCAGCUGUUUCCAAACGAAGGAAUAUGAGGAUCAGCGUUUAAAAGACAGGAAUUUGGCCUGCCUAUGAUUUCUUCGGAGCUGUACGGACACUUAGGCCACUGAAGGGUAGAAGAAAUAUUUUCUCUAUAAGUAUGACACCCUGAAGAAAAAAUUUUUCUCUCCGUUGGGGUCUUUGUGAUCUGGCUUGCGUAUAUCAAGUGCUGCACCUGGGUUGGGGCAACACCAGACAUAAGUCCAGACUGGGAGAACUCAUUGAGAGCAGCCCUGCGGAAAAGGACUUGGGGGAUCUGGUGGACGAAAAGCUCAACGUAAGCCAGCAGCAUGUGCUUGCAGCCCAGAAGGCCAACUGCAUCCUGGGCUGCAUCAACAGAGGGGUGGGCAGCAGGUGGAGGGAGGGGAUUGUGCCCCUCUGCUCUGCCGUUGUGAGGC